GGUAGUCCACGCCGUAAACGAUGUCGACCUGGAGGUUGUGCCCUUGAGGCGUGGCUUCCGGAGCUAACGCGUUAAGUCGACCGCCUGGGGAGUACGGCCGCAAGGUUAAAACUCAAAUGAAUUGACGGGGGCCCGCACAAGCGGUGGAGCAUGUGGUUUAAUUCGAUGCAACGCGAAGAACCUUACCUGGCCUUGACAUCCACGGAAUUCGGCAGAGAUGCCUUAGUGCCUUCGGGAACCGUGAGACAGGUGCUGCAUGGCUGUCGUCAGCUCGUGUUGUGAAAUGUUGGGUUAAGUCCCGCAACGAGCGCAACCCUUAUCCUUUGUUGCCAGCACGUAAUGGUGGGAACUCAAAGGAGACUGCCGGUGAUAAACCGGAGGAAGGUGGGGAUGACGUCAAGUCAUCAUGGCCCUUACGGCCAGGGCUACACACGUGCUACAAUGGCGCAUACAAAGAGAAGCGACCUCGCGAGAGCAAGCGGACCUCAUAAAGUGCGUCGUAGUCCGGAUCGGAGUCUGCAACUCGACUCCGUGAAGUCGGAAUCGCUAGUAAUCGUAGAUCAGAAUGCUACGGUGAAUACGUUCCCGGGCCUUGUACACACCGCCCGUCACACCAUGGGAGUGGGUUGCAAAAGAAGUAGGUAGCUUAACCUUCGGGAGGGCGCUUACCACUUUGUGAUUCAUGACUGGGGUGAAGUCGUAACAAGGUAACCGUAGGGGAACCUGC
rnacentral:rRNA from 1 species